GACGAACGCUGGCGGCGUGCUUAACACAUGCAAGUCGAACGGUGAACCUCUUCGGAGGGUAUCAGUGGCGAACGGGUGAGUAACACGUUGGCAACCUGCUCCCGUCUCUGGGAUAACUCCAAGACAUUGGGGCUAAUACCGUAUGUUCACCGCUUCUCUCAUGGGUGGUGGUGGAAAGGUUUUCCGGCUUGGGAUGGGCCCGCGGCAUAUCAUCUUGUUGGUGGUGUAGUGGCCUACCAAGGCGAAGACGGGUAGCCGGCCUGGGAGGGUCACCGGCCACAAGGGGACUGAGAGAGGGCGCAGAAGCGUAUGGGAGGCAGCAGGGGGGAGUAUUGCGGAAUGGGGGGAAGCGUGACACAGAGACGCCGCGUGGGGGAUGACGGCCUUCGGGUGGUAAACAUAUUUCAGAAGGGACGAAGAGGAAGUGACGGUACCUGAAGAAGAAGCACCGGCCAACUACGUG
rnacentral:rRNA from 1 species